UAUCUCCCUUCCCUCUCUCUGCUCUCACGUCUCUCUCUCCCUCGCCUCUCUCGCGCCGCCGUCAACAUGAGGAGCGCAACGCGCCGUCUCUGCCCCAUGUUUUUCCUCUGUCCUCACUUUCUCCAGCCCAAGCCACGACCACACCUCCGCGCCUGCCUUCUCCUCAUCGGGAACAGGCAGAGGAGGAGGAGCAUGGGCCGCAGAGACGACGAGGUGGCCGAGCUGCCCGUGGUGUCGUCGCCGUUCCUCACGACUCAGCGGGAGGUGUGCCGGCCGCAGGAGGAGUGCGCGCUGGGGAUGUGGCGGGCCAAGGGCCACUAGCCAGCGCCGCCCGCUCACCGUCAGAUCCGAGCGCAGCCUCUUCGACGACCUCCCAUGCACGCCAGCGCUGGCGACGGUGAGGACCUCGCACUCUGUUCCCCGGGGCCGUCCACUAUGCACCAUUAGUUCGACCAAGGAGCGACAGAGGCAGAGGCGCAGGGCGACCAGCGCCCCAUGCAGGCACUAGAUGCGGCGCUCCUCCAUCUCUCCUCCUUCUGCGUCUAUUGCAGGAGACGAACAUACGUUGCUGGUCGCCGGCUUGGCCUGCAAGAGGAUGCUCUCCUGCUCUAACUUGCUCACAUGUUAGUGUUUCAUCAAUGAAGAUGUAUAUUCAAGCCUACGUCUUCAUAAACAGCAACUCGUCCUCCCUUCCCCUUGGGACCUGCUGGUUGUGGAGAAGUCUGAGAGAACUCUCAGGUCAACAAGUAAUUGUGUUGUUUACGAAGAUGCAGACUUGCAGUUGCUGAUUCUGACUCGGGCAGUGAUUCUGAAAGCGAAUCAGAGAAGGUUGGUAGCGCAGCAAGGCUUGCGAAGGUAACUGAAGAUAGUUUACUGUCGAGUGAGUCCUUUAUAUUCUGGCGGAGUUACUGAGGAAGGAGGUAAAUGAAGCGCCAACUAUUACCAGCAAAAAUCAAUGUGGAGUUGCAGUUCCAUGUUGUCAUCAUCAUUCAGGGAUGGACGACGAGCAGCUGAGUUUGCUGCCAUUGGAUUCAUUAAACGGGAGGUCAAUAUGGUUGGCUUUUGCACUGUGGACUUUGCCAAGGUAUAGUAGAUGUACUGAUAGUCUGAUACAUUUCUUCAACCUCGGCGCUUUACACGUUCGUUGUUUACUUCGAUUGAUGGCAGUUCAUUUUUUUGACUUGGUGAAUGUUCUCAUGGAACUGAAAGUUUCCAUAAAAGAUGGAUAUCUUCAUGCCUUACUUCUCUUGCGUAGAUUGGAUACUAAUUUUCAGGUGUUCAGGGAAAUAUUUUUUAACUGGUAUAUUUAUAUUUGUUUGUAGCAUACUAAGUUAAUCAAACUUGGCUUGAAUUCCUUGAUGUUUACUUUAGCCUGCAUAAAGUUGGUAAAUGACAGUCUUUGCUUUAAUUUUCCUGAUUCAGCUAAGGCGGGAACUAUCAUAUGAUGAUAUUCUCCUCAUAUUAUUUUCUUUGUUCUCCCUAAUUUUAAUGCACUACAGAAGGUUGGUUGUCUCCUCACAGAUUUUCAGACUGUUGAUGGGCAAAACAUUUCUAUGGAACACAAUUAUUACAACACCAAGAUCAGAUGCUCGGAUAGUUCUUGCUAUUGCUUCUUUAGGGGUCACACCUUUCUUAUUUCCUCGUGGACGAACAGGCCAUUCUUGCAUCAAGUUACCUAUAUAAAUUUGUGGUGACACCCGAUGUUCUAUGUCCAGGGUUCCCCAGAUGCGAUUUUUGCUUGAUAAAGCUUGCUUGGUCCUGUGGGAUGAAGCUCCAAUGGUGCGCUGUCACUGUUUCGAAGCUCUUGAUAGAAUUUUCAGAGAUAUACUUGCAGUAUAUGAUAGCUCAAGGUCACUCUUCCCUUUAAGAGGAAAGGUUGUUGUUGUUAGUGGCGAUUUUAAGCAAGUACUUCCUGUUAUGCAAGAAGGUGCUAAGACUGGAAUUAUUGGAGCUUCUCUGGUCAUGUCACCUUUAUGGAGGCAUAUCAAGCUCUACGUGAUGUCUGCAAGGAUUGAGAAGACAAUUGGUCUGAUUGCUUUUGGAAGAGGUGGCAGAAAGAAUAGAAACAAUGAUGCCUAUGUUGAUUCAAAGUAUAGUUAUUAAGCAAACCAUUACUGUUAUUAGUUCUUAGUUCCACCUAUAUGUUUGAGAAAUUCAAAUGAUGGAAUCAAUGGUCUAUAUUUCCUUUAAUUUGUGGAAUAUAUACUGUGUAAUCAAUAGUGGACUGGGUGGGUGCUGCCAUCGUGCUUUGUUGUUUUGUGUAACAGGCUGUAUCGAAUAUGAAUCGUGUUCUAUCAAGUUGGAUAUAAUGUCAUUGCAUUGUAAAUAAA